UCGAACGUAAGAUGACUGUAGGUGUAAAGACUUACAUCUCUUCGGAGCAUUUUACGUAGGUGCUGCAUGGUUGUCGUCAGCUCGUGCCGUGAGGUGUCGGGUUAAGGUCCCAUAACGAGCGCAACCCCUACCUUAGUUGCCAUCAGGUUAAGCUGGGGACGUCUAAAGGAACUGCCUACGCAAGUAGUGAGGAAGGCGGGGAGUGACGUCAAAUCAGCACGGCCCUUACGUCCAGGGCUACACACGUGCUACAAUGGCCGAUACAGAGGGCAGCUACCUGGUGACAGGAUGCAAAUCUCCAAAGUCGGUCUCAGUUCGGAUCGGAGUCUGCAACCCGACUCCGUGAAGUUGGAUUCGCUAGUAAUCGCGCAUCAGCCAUGGCGCGGUGAAUACGUUCCCGGGCCUU
rnacentral:rRNA from 1 species